rnacentral:rRNA from 1 species
UACGGAGGGUGCGAGCGUUGUUCGGAAUCACUGGGCGUAAAGGGCGUGUAGGCGGUCCGCUAAGUCUGAUGUGAAAGCCCGGGGCUCACCCCCGGAAGGGCAUUGGAAACUGACGGACUCGAGUCCCGAAGGGGAGGGUGGAAUUCCUGGUGUAGCGGUGAAAUGCGUAGAUAUCAGGAGGAACACCGGUGGCGAAGGCGGCCCUCUGGACGGUGACUGACGCUGAGACGCGAAAGCGUGGGGAGCAAACAGG